AACCAUUUUGAUCCAAAAAAUUCAGAGAAAGUGUGUGCUGGUAAUUUUUGAAUUCUGUUUUUUAUGCACACAUUGCUUUUAGAUUUUGGCAAGCGGGAUAUAUGAUACUGCCAGAAAACUUUUUUACUUUUUAAAGGACAAGUGUGCAGGUAUCAAAUGCACCUUUAGCAGCAAUCUCUAAACCAAACCCUGCAAAAAGAAUCUAAUGGAGAUCUGGGGGAAGGAAACUGACUAAACCAGACUAAAACGGACUAAUACACAGCUUUUUAACAAAAAAUAACCCUAAAGGGCAAAAAAUAAAAUACAAAUUACAGACCGUACAAACGCACUACUGGAAUAGGAUUUGGCAGGGAAGGGGUUUACAAGGAAUGUUAUUACUUUUUUCACAGGUUCUGGCACUUCUGGCAACACUUUAACAAACUGGCAACAAACUAUCAAGAACUGAUCUCUGUAUCUCUCCCUCUCAAAACACUACAGAGGAGAGAGGGGCAAAGAUCACAGUCAAUGUGAGUGUUUGUAACUGCAUAAUUGGCUGUUACUACCUGCCUCGCAUGCCUGGCAGAUAGUAACAGUGGAAUUUCAGUGGAAGCGAUCGUUUUCCCUUUAUGCCAGUUCAGGACCGUCAGCGGUCCUCAAGGGGAUGUUUCCGAUGACAGGCCUGAACCCUCAUCAGUCGUUAAGGGGUUAAAGAGAACGCCCACCCAGCACACUACACCUGCUUGGCUAUGGGAAGCCCAUAAGGGAGUUAUAAGAGUCAUCCUAAUAAAAUGGGGAGAGGGCAGCCAGGACCAAGCUUUUGCCGAUCAAAAUAAGACAGGAGGAGCUCAAGCAUAAAGCACAGGCAUCCAAGGAAUCCCUUAAGUGCCUUACAGCAAUCUGUACAGACCUAAAAGACCUCCUGAACAUACAAGCUCAAAGGGCCAUACUACUAACCCGCAAUAUGUAUAAUGUACAUGGGUAGAAAUGUGGAAAACUACUAGCACAAGCACUAAAGGCAAAACGACAACGAUCAUACAUACCAAAUUACAAGAUAAACAAGAUACAGACUAUAACAAGACAGAAAGACAUAGCAGCAGCUUUCAGUACCUUCUAUAGAGACCUAUAUAACCUCCCCCGGCAUGUGGAUCAGAAACUGACCUACAGACUUACUUCACCAAACACACGACACACAUUAUCUCAUCUUAAAAAUAUUAGCUAAAUUGUUGGCCCUUUGUCUCAGUGCCCUACUGCCUAGGCUGGUCUGCUCUUACCAGACGGGAUUUGUCCCAUGCAGGGAUGCGAGAGAUAACACAACCAAAAUAGUGAACCUCCUGCACGGGGUCAGAGUAACCAAUAUGCCCUUGGCCUUACUGUCUGUAGACGCUGAAAAGGCGUUUGAUAGGGUGGACUGGUCAUAUAUGUUUGCAGCGAUGGAGGCACUGGGGCUUGGGACAAAAAGUUGCAACUGGGUAAGGGUCCCACUGCUAUGGUAGGAGUGAAGGGCAGAGACUCAAGGCCCUUUACAAUAGAGAACCGCACCCGCCAGAGUUGCCGGUUGUCCCUAGGCAUGCACCAGAU